UGGGGACUAUUGGACAAUGGGCGCAAGCCUGAUCCAGCCAUGCCUCGUGAGUGAUGAAGGCCUUCGGGUUGUAAAACUCUUUCGACGGGGACGAUAAUGACGGUACCCGUAGAAGAAGCUCCGGCUAACUUCGUGCCAGCAGCCGCGGUAAUACGAAGGGGGCUAGCGUGGUUCGGAAUUACUGGGCGUAAAGCGCGCGCAGGCGGCUAUCCAAGUCAGUGGUGAAAGCCCGGAGCUCAACUCCGGAACGGCCAUUGAAACUGUUUAGCUUGAGGAGGAGAGAGGUGAGUGGAAUUCCCAGUGUAGAGGUGAAAUUCGUAGAUAUUGGGAAGAACACCAGUGCGAAGGCGGCUCACUGGCUCGUAUCUGACGCUCAGGCGCGAUAGCGUGGGGAUCAAACA
rnacentral:rRNA from 1 species